rnacentral:rRNA from 1 species
GAUGAACGCUGGCGGCGUGCCUAAUUCAUGCAAGUCGAGCGAACGGACGAGAAGCUUGCUUCUCUGAUGUUAGCGGCGGACGGGUGAGUAACACGUGGAUAACCUACCUAUAAGACUGGGAUAACUUCGGGAAACCGGAGCUAAUACCGGAUAAUAUUUUGAACCGCAUGGUUCAAAAGUAAAAGACGGUCUUGCUGUCACUUAUAGAUGGAUCCGCGCUGCAUUAGCUAGUUGGUAAGGUAACGGCUUACCAAGGCAACGAUGCAUAGCCGACCUGAGAGGGUGAUCGGCCACACUGGAACUGAGACACGGUCCAGACUCCUACGGGAGGCAGCAGUAGGGAAUCUUCCGCAAUGGGCGAAAGCCUGACGGAGCAACGCCGCGCGAGUGAUGAAGGUCUUCGGAUCGUAAAACUCUGUUAUUAGGGAAGAACAUAUGUGUAAGUAACUGUGCACAUCUUGACGGUACCUAAUCAGAAAGCCACGGCUAACUACGUG